UACGAGGGGGGCAAGCGUUGUUCGGAUUUACUGGGCGUAAAGGGCGCGUAGGCGGUCGUGACAAGUCACUUGUGAAAUCUCCGGGCUUAACUCGGAACGGUCAAGUGAUACUGUCGGACUAGAGUACAGAAGGGGCAACUGGAAUUCUCGGUGUAGCGGUGAAAUGCGUAGAUAUCGAGAGGAACACCUGCGGCGAAGGCGGGUUGCUGGGCUGAUACUGACGCUGAGGCGCGAAAGCCAGGGGAGCGAACGGG
rnacentral:rRNA from 1 species